UACAGGGGGUGCAAACGUUGCUCGGAAUCAUUGGGCGUAAAGCGCACGUAGGCGGUUCGUUAUGUCGGAUGUGAAAGCCCUUGGCUUAACCGAGGAAGUGCAUCCGAAACUGGCGAGCUAGAGUACUAAAGAGGAUCGCGGAAUUCCCGGUGUAGAGGUGAAAUUCGUAGAUAUUGGGAAGAACACCGGUGGCGAAGGCGGCGACCUGGUCCUUGACUGACGCUGAGGCGCGAAAGCGUGGGGAGCAAACAGG
rnacentral:rRNA from 1 species